CAGAUGACUGAGCCACCCAGCCACCCAUUUUCUCAGUGACUUCUUAGAGUUGUUUAUGUUAUGCAUACUAAUAAUUUAUUGGUAAUAUUUAUUGAGCUGACGUUCAAUAUUUCUGGAGAGUCUCCCCAAAUCCAACUGAGACGCCCUCACUGGCCAUUUUAGAUUCUAAACGAGGAAACAACGUACUCCUGUAAGGCCUCUGGAACCUCCUGCUCAGAGGUGUUUGCAGUGUGAUGGUCAACUACAUCUCACAAUGGAUCAGAUUUCUUUUUGUUGAACUCCUAAAUGUUAAGCUUA